GGGUGAGUAACGCGUGGGUAACCUGCCCUUGAAUCUGGGAUAACUUCGCGAAAGUGUUGCUAAUACCGGAUAUCGUUUCGGGAACUGUGGUUCUUGGAAUGAAAGGUGAUCUCUUCAUGAAAAUUGCCGUUCGUGGAGGGGCCCGCUACCAUUAGCUUGUUGGUGGGGUAAUGGCCUACCAAGGCGACGAUGGUUAGCUGGUCUGAGAGGAUGAUCAGCCACACUGGAACUGAAACACGGUCCAGACUCCUACGGGAGGCAGCAGUGAGGAAUUUUGCGCAAUGGGGGAAACCCUGACGCAGCAACGCCGCGUGAGUGAAGAAGGCCUUCGGGUCGUAAAGCUCUGUCAAGUGGGAAAAAAGCCUCGCGAUGAAUAGUCGUGAGGUCUGAUGGUACCGCUGGAGGAAGCACCGGCUAACUCCGUGCCAGCAGCCGCGGUAAUACGGAGGGUGCAAGCGUUGUUCGGAAUUAUUGGGCGUAAAGAGCGUGUAGGCGGGUUGGUAAGUCAGAUGUGAAAGUCCUGGGCUCAACCCAGGAAGUGCAUUUGAUACUGCCAUUCUUGAGUAUGGGAGAGGAGAGUGGAAUUCCCAGUGUAGAGGUGAAAUUCGUAGAUAUUGGGAGGAACACCCGUGGCGAAGGCGACUCUCUGGACCAAUACUGACGCUGAGACGCGAAAGCGUGGGGAGCAAACAGGAUUAGAUACCCUGGUAGUCCACGCCGUAAACGAUGAGAACUAGGUGUAGCGGGUAUUGACCCCUGCUGUGCCGAAGUUAACGCAUUAAGUUCUCCGCCUGGGGAGUACGGCCGCAAGGCUAAAACUCAAAGGAAUUGACGGGGACCCGCACAAGCGGUGGAGCAUGUGGUUUAAUUCGACGCAACGCGAAGAACCUUACCUGGAUUUGACAUCCUCUGACAGUCCCGGAAACGGGAUCUUCCCUGCUUGCAGGGACAGAGUGACAGGUGCUGCAUGGCUGUCGUCAGCUCGUGUCGUGAGAUGUUGGGUUAAGUCCCGCAACGAGCGCAACCCUUGUUUUUAGUUGCCAUUAUUAAGUUAGGCACUCUAAAAAUACUGCCUCGGUUAACGGGGAGGAAGGUGGGGAUGACGUCAAGUCCUCAUGGCCUUUAUAUCCAGGGCUACACACGUGCUACAAUGGGCUGUACAAAGGGUUGCCAUUCCGCGAGGAGGAGCUAAUCCCAAAAAGCAGCUCUCAGUUCGGAUUGAAGUCUGCAACUCGACUUCAUGAAGUUGGAAUCGCUAGUAAUCGUGGAUCAGCAUGCCACGGUGAAUACGUUCCCGGGUCUUGUACACACCGCCCGUCACACCACGAAAGUCGACUGUACCAGAAGUUGCUGGGCUAACCCCGUAAGGGGAGGUAGGUACCUAAGGUACGGCCGGUAAUUGGGGUGAAGUCGUAACAAGGUA
rnacentral:rRNA from 1 species